rnacentral:rRNA from 1 species
GACGGGCCCGCACAAGCAGCGGAGCGUGUGGUUUAAUUCGAUGCUACACGAAGAACCUUACCAGGGUUUGACAUGCAAGUGGUAGGAACCGAAAGGCGACCGACCCUUCGGGGAGCUUGCACAGGUGCUGCAUGGCUGUCGUCAGCUCGUGUCGUGAGAUGUUCGGUUAAGUCCGCUAACGAGCGCAACCCUCGCUGUGUGUUACAAGUGUCACACGGUACUGCCGGUCUUAAGCCGGAGGAAGGUGGGGAUGACGUCAAGUCAGCAUGGCCUUUAUGUCCUGGGCUACACACACGCUACAAUGGCCAACACAAUAGGUUGCUAAGCCGCGAGGUGGAGCCAAUCCUCAAAGUUGGUCUCAGUUCAGAUUGCAGGCUGCAACCCGCCUGCAUGAAGAUGGAGUUGCUAGUAACCGCAGGUCAGCUAUACUGCGGUGAAUACGUUCCCGGGGCUU